rnacentral:rRNA from 1 species
GUGCAGCAGUCGAGAAUUUUUCUCAAUGGGGGCAACCCUGAAGGAGCGACGCCGCGUGGAGGAUGAAGGCUUUCGGGUUGUAAACUCCUGUCAUUUGAGAACAAGUGUAGCCAAGUAACUACUGGCUACUUGAUAGUAUCAGAAGAGGAAGAGACGGCUAACUCUGUGCCAGCAGCCGCGGUAAUACAGAGGUCUCAAGCGUUGUUCGGAUUCAUUGGGCGUAAAGGGUGCGUAGGUGGCGCCAUAAGUCGGGUGUGAAAUCUCGGGGCUUAACUCCGAAACUGCAUUCGAUACUGUGGUGCUUGAGGACUGGAGAGGAGACUGGAAUUCAUGGUGUAGCAGUGAAAUGCGUAGAGAUCAUGAGGAAGACCAGUGGCGAAGGCGGGUCUCUGGACAGUUCCUGACACUGAGGCACGAAGGCCAGGGGAGCAAACGGGAUUAGGAUACCCGCGUAGU